CCUGCCGCAUGCAGGGGGAUACCGGCUGGAAACAGCCGCUAAUACCGCAUAUGCGCACAGCGCCGCAUGGCGCAGUGCGGAAAGGGAGCAAUCCCGGCAUGCGAUGGGUCCGCGUCCGAUUAGCUUGUUGGCGGGGCAGCGGCCCACCAAGGCGACGAUCGGUAGCCGGCCUGAGAGGGCGGACGGCCACAUUGAGACUGAGACACGGCCCAGACUCCUACGGAAGGCAGCAG
rnacentral:rRNA from 1 species